rnacentral:rRNA from 1 species
GACGAACGCUGGCGGCGUGCCUAAUACAUGCAAGUUGAGCGCUGAAGGUUGGUACUUGUUCCAACUGGAUGAGCAGCGGACGGGUGAGUAACGCGUGGGGAACCUGCCUAUGAGCGGGGGACAACAUUUGGAAACGAAUGCUAAUACCGCAUAAAAACUUUAAACACAAGGUUCAAGAUUGAAAGAUGCAAUUGCAUCACCCAAAAAUUAUCCCGCGGUGGAUUAGCUAGUGGGUUAGGGAAAGGCUCACCAAGGCAACGAUGCGUAGCCGACCUGAGAGGGUGAUCGGCCACACUGGAACUGAGACACGGCCCAGACUCCUACGGGAGGCAGCAGGAGGGAAUCUUCGGCAAUGGGCGAAAGCCUGACGGAGCAACGCCGCGUGAGUGAGGAAGGUUUUCGGAUCGUAAAACUCUGUUAUUAGGGAAGAACGUAGGUGGAAGUAACUAGGCACGUCUGGACGGGACCUAACCAGAAAGGGACGGCUAACUACGUG